GAUGAACGCUGGCGGCGUGCCUAAUACAUGCAAGUCGAGCGUACAGACGAGGAGCUUGCUCCUCUGACGUUAGCGGCGGACGGGUGAGUAACACGUGGAUAACCUACCUAUAAGACUGGGAUAACUUCGGGAAACCGGAGCUAAUACCGGAUAAUAUAUUGAACCGCAUGGUUCAAUAGUGAAAGACGGUUUUGCUGUCACUUAUAGAUGGAUCCGCGCCGCAUUAGCUAGUUGGUAAGGUAACGGCUUACCAAGGCGACGAUGCGUAGCCGACCUGAGAGAGUGAUCGGCCACACUGGAACUGAGACACGGUCCAGACUCCUACGGGAGGCAGCAGUAGGGAAUCUUCCGCAAUGGGCGAAAGCCUGACGGAGCAACGCCGCGUGAGUGAUGAAGGUCUUCGGAUCGUAAAACUCUGUUAUUAGGGAAGAACAAAUGUGUAAGUAACUAUGCACGUCUUGACGGUACCUAAUCAGAAAGCCACGGCUAACUACGUG
rnacentral:rRNA from 1 species